rnacentral:rRNA from 1 species
UUGCCAGCAGCCGCGGUGAUACGUAGGGUGCGAGCGUAGUCCGGGAUUUAUUGGGCGUAAAGGGCUCGUAGGUGGUUGAUCGCGUCGGAAGUGUAAUCUUGGGGCUUAACCCUGAGCGUGCUUUCGAUACGGGUUGACUUGAGGAAGGUAGGGGAGAAUGGAAUUCCUGGUGGAGCGGUGGAAUGCGCAGAUAUCAGGAGGAACACCAGUGGCGAAGGCGGUUCUCUGGGCCUUUCCUGACGCUGAGGAGCGAAAGCGUGGGGAGCGAACAGGCUUAGAUACCCUGGUAGUCC